UGGGGAAUUGUUCGCAAUGGGCGCAAGCCUGACGACGCAACGCCGCGUGGAGGAUGAAGGUCUUCGGAUUGUAAACUCCUGUUGCCCGGGACGAACGGCUCCAGUCUAAUACGCUGGAGUUUGACGGUACCGGGUGAGGAAGCCCCGGCUAACUCUGUG
rnacentral:rRNA from 1 species